AUUGAACGCUGGCGGCAGGCUUAACACAUGCAAGUCGAACGAGUGGCGGACGGGUGAGUAAUGCGUGGGAAUCUAUCUUAUGGAGGGGGAUAACUACGGGAAACUGUAGCUAAUACCGCGUACCAUAGGAUGAGACCAAGUGGGAUUAGGUAGUUGGUUAGGUAACGGCGCACAAAGCCGACGAUCUCUAGCUGGUCUGAGAGGAUGACCAGGAACAAUGGGAAUGAGACAAGGAGCAGAAUGCAACGGGAGGAAGAAGUGGUGAAGAGUGCACAAGGGGCGCAAGACUGAUGCAGCCAUGCCGCGUGUAUGAAGAAGGCAGGCGGGUAGUAAAGUACUUUCAGUCGGGAGGCGUUACCGACAGAAGAAGCACCGGCUAACUCCGUGCCAGCAGCCGCGGUAAUAC
rnacentral:rRNA from 1 species